CCUACGGGAGGCAGCAGUAGGGAAUCUUCCGCAAUGGACGAAAGUCUGACGGAGCAACGCCGCGUGAGUGAUGAAGGCUUUCGGGUCGUAAAACUCUGUUGUUAGGGAAGAACAAGUACGAGAGUAACUGCUCGUACCUUGACGGUACCUAACCAGAAAGCCACGGCUAACUACGUGCCAGCAGCCGCGGUAAUAA
rnacentral:rRNA from 1 species